rnacentral:rRNA from 1 species
GAUGAACGCUGGCGGCGUGCCUAAUACAUGCAAGUAGAACGCUGAAGCUUGGUGCUUGCACCGAGCGGAAGAGUUGCGAACGGGUGAGUAACGCGUAGGUAACCUGCCUCUUAGCGGGGGAUAACUAUUGGAAACGAUAGCUAAUACCGCAUAAAAGUCGGCAUUGCAUGAUGUUGACUUGAAAGGUGCAACUGCAUCACUAAGAGAUGGACCUGCGUUGUAUUAGCUAGUUGGUGAGGUAACGGCUCACCAAGGCGACGAUACAUAGCCGACCUGAGAGGGUGAUCGGCCACACUGGGACUGAGACACGGCCCAGACUCCUACGGGAGGCAGCAGUAGGGAAUCUUCGGCAAUGGACGGAAGUCUGACCGAGCAACGCCGCGUGAGUGAAGAAGGUUUUCGGAUCGUAAAGCUCUGUUGUAAGAGAAGAACGAGUGUGAGAGUGGAAAGUUCACACUGUGACGGUAACUUACCAGAAAGGGACGGCUAACUACGUGCCAGCAGCCGCGGUAAUACGUAGGUCCCGAGCGUUAUCCGGAUUUAUUGGGCGUAAAGCGAGCGCAGGCGGUUAGAUAAGUCUGAAGUUAAAGGCUGUGGCUUAACCAUAGUACGCUUUGGAAACUGUUUAACUUGAGUGCAGAAGGGGAGAGUGGAAUUCCAUGUGUAGCGGUGAAAUGCGUAGAUAUAUGGAGGAACACCGGUGGCGAAAGCGGCUCUCUGGUCUGUAACUGACGCUGAGGCUCGAAA